GGGCUUGACAUCCCACGAACCUGCCCGAAAAGGUGGGGUGCCCGCAAGGGAGCGUGGAGACAGGUGGUGCAUGGCUGUCGUCAGCUCGUGUCGUGAGAUGUUGGGUUAAGUCCCGCAACGAGCGCAACCCUCACCCCUAGUUGCCACCGGGUUAAGCCGAGCACUCAAGGGGAACUGCCAGCGUCAAGCUGGAGGAAGGCGGGGAUGACGUCAAGUCAUCAUGCCCCUUACGCCCUGGGCUACACACGUGCUACAAUGGCCAGCACAAAGGGACGCGAGACUGCGAAGUGGAGCUAAUCCCAAAAAGCUGGCCUAAGUUCAGAUUGCAGUCUGCAACUCGACUGCAUGAAGGAGGAAUCGUUAGUAAUCGCGUAUCAGCCCGGCGCGGUGAAUACGUUCCCGGGCCUUGUACACACCGCCCGUCACACCACGAAAGCUGUCUGUACUCGAAGUCGCUGAG
rnacentral:rRNA from 1 species